GGGCGCGUAGCUCAGUUGGUAGAGCGCGCGGCUUACAUCCGCGUGGUCACAGGUUCGAGUCCUGUCGCGCCCACCA
rnacentral:tRNA from 1 species